AUGGAGUCGCUGCCGCUGCACAAGCGCAACGUCGGCCGAGAUGACGAAAGGAUCAGCGCGCUCCCUGACGACCUCCUCCUCGGAAUCCUCGAGCGCCUUGAACUGCGCGAGGCGGUCCGCGCCGGAGCAGUCUCGACGCGGUGGCGGCACCUCGCCCACCGCCUCUCGCGCCUGCACCUCAACGGUCGCCAUUUCCGCUGCACCACGCUGCUCCAGUACAUGGACGCGUUCACGGGCGCGGCACGGAGUUUGCUGACCGACCGCGACUGCGACUGCAACGGCAGUCAUGCUGUCAAGUCCAUCAGCCUCCGCUUCUUCCUGUCGGCCCCCCACCUGAGCUCCAUCGGCCGCGCCGUUGAGCACGUCGUCAGCCGCGGCGAGACCAAACGGCUCCAUUUUGGCACAUGCUCGCCAUACAAGAGAAACACUGCCCUGCAGCUCGCCGAGUUUGGGCAGCAGUUCAUGUCCUUCUCCCGCGACUACCCACUCGCUUUCCGGUGGCUCACCAGGCUUACACUCAAGAACCUUGCGUUUGGGCAUCCCGACGUCACCGACCUCAUUAGUGCCUGUGACAGGCUCACGCACCUCACUCUGAGUUUUUGCCAACUUGUUGACGAGCACACACCGCUCAAGAUCAACACACCGUGUUCUGGGAUCAAGGAUCUCGAAUUCAUCCAAUUUGGGUGCACCCAGAUCGAGCUCAUCUCUGUCCCCAAGCUCAGUAAAGUGCAGUGCACAUCUUGGCGCUUGGCGAACCCUCCUGUGCGCUUUGGCUAUGUUCCAGAGCUUUGCAAUGUGAGCCUCACUACCGGCGCCAUGGCGUGGCAGGCGCCAUUCUUGCUGAGCAAGUGCUUGUCAGGGAGUGCCAUGAACCUGUCCAGAAUAUCUCUCAAUUUUUGCCACCAAAUGAUUUGGAUUCAACCGGAACAUCUGAACCAGCUUGCUGCUAUAUUCAGAAAUCUGGGUCAUGUGUCUCUUUUUGGUAUCUUCCCUGAGUGUGAUCUGAGCUGGACCCUAUUUAUCCUUGACGCUGCACCUGCACUCUUUAGUUUGACAUUAUCUCGAACUCGACAUUCAUGUGUUGAAACACCCAAGGAUAGUGCUGAGAAGACCACCGUGGUUUGGGAGCCAUCCAAGGAUUCGAAGAACUUGAAAUUGAAGUUCUUGUUGAUUUUCGGGUUUGAGGAAGAAGACAAGGUGAUAAACUAUAUAAGGCUUGUCAUGGAACGAGCCGUGGGGUUGAAGAGAAUUGAGCUGGAUGUUGAACGCCCAUGUGAGUAUUGCAAGGACACAGACCUUGAGUCCGCGACGAGAUCCCAGGUGGAUGAAGCUAGCAGUCAUCGGAUUAGGGAGAGGCUCGCACAUGGAUCCUCCUCGCUCGUGGAGAUAAUAAUAAAUGUUAAAUCCCCUAACUCCUCCAACUGCUAG
rnacentral:rRNA from 1 species